GGUAAGGUGGCUGAGUUCUAAGCGGUGGAUUGUAGCUCCAUAGACAGAGGUUCAAUUCCUCUCUUUAUCA
rnacentral:tRNA from 1 species